GGAUAUGAGGGCGGGGAUCUGGCUGUGACAUCUGUCACCCCAUUGAUCAUCAGGGUUGAUUCAGCUGGGCUGCCUAGUGGAUGUCCCCUUUAUCCCUCAUUGCUCCAUGUGUGGCCCUCCCAAACCUGCUUUGGUCAAAGAGAAUGACCACCCCCAACCGAGGAGGACCAUCUUCUAAGUCAAGGGUAUAAAGUAGCUGUGCUCCCCUGCUAGAACCUCCAAAUAAGCUCUGAAGACAGUCUCCACUCCAAUGAAUGAUCUGUCCCCAAAACGUUAAUAGGGCCAAAGUUCAAUACCCUUCUGUGAAAAAAGAGACCUUAUUACAC
ensembl:misc_RNA 7SK 7SK RNA